UUUAUAUGAGAGUUUGAUCCUGGCUCAGGAUGAACGCCGGCGGUGUGCCUAAUACAUGCAAGUCGUACGCACUGGCCCAACUGAUUGAUGGUGCUUGCACCUGAUUGACGAUGGAUCACCAGUGAGUGGCGGACGGGUGAGUAACACGUAGGUAACCUGCCCCGGAGCGGGGGAUAACAUUUGGAAACAGAUGCUAAUACCGCAUAACAGCAAAAGCCACAUGGCUUUUGUUUGAAAGAUGGCUUUGGCUAUCACUCUGGGAUGGACCUGCGGUGCAUUAGCUAGUUGGUAAGGUAACGGCUUACCAAGGCGAUGA
rnacentral:rRNA from 1 species